CUACGGGAGGCAGCAGUAGGGAAUCUUCCACAAUGGGCGAAAGCCUGAUGGAGCAACGCCGCGUGAGUGAAGAAGGUUUUCGGAUCGUAAAACUCUGUUGUAAGGGAAGAACAAGUACAGUAGUAACUGGCUGUACCUUGACGGUACCUUAUUAGAAAGCCACGGCUAACUACGUGCCAGCAGCCGCGGUAAUACGUAGGUGGCAAGCGUUGUCCGGAAUUAUUGGGCGUAAAGCGCGCGCAGGCGGUCCUUUAAGUCUGAUGUGAAAGCCCACGGCUCAACCGGGGAGGGUCAUUGGAACUGGGGGGCUUGAGUGCAGAAGAGGAAAGUGGAAUUCCAAGUGUAGCGGUGAAAUGCGUAGAGAUUUGGAGGAACACCAGUGGCGAAGGCGACUUUCUGGUCUGUAACUGACGCUGAGGCGCGAAAGCGUGGGGAGCAAACAGGAUUAGAUACCCCAGUAGUC
rnacentral:rRNA from 1 species